rnacentral:rRNA from 1 species
UGCAGUGGGGAAUUUUGCGCAAUGGGGGAAAGCCUGACGCAGCGACGCCGCGUGAGGGAUGAAGGCCUUCGGGUUGUAAACCUCUUUCAGCAGGGAAGAAGCGCAAGGGACGGUACCUGCAGAAGAAGCACCGGCUAACUACGUGCCAGCAGCCGCGGUAAUACGUAGGGUGCAAGCGUUGUCCGGAAUUAUUGGGCGUAAAGAGCUCGUAGGCGGUCUGUCGCUUUUGGGGUGAAAACCCAGG